rnacentral:rRNA from 1 species
GACGAACGCUGGCGGCGUGCUUAACACAUGCAAGUCGAACGGAAAGGCCCUGCUUUUGUGGGGUGCUCGAGUGGCGAACGGGUGAGUAACACGUGAGUAACCUGCCCUUGACUUUGGGAUAACUUCAGGAAACUGGGGCUAAUACCGGAUAGGAGCUCCUGCUGCAUGGUGGGGGUUGGAAAGUUUCGGCGGUUGGGGAUGGACUCGCGGCUUAUCAGCUUGUUGGUGGGGUAGUGGCUUACCAAGGCUUUGACGGGUAGCCGGCCUGAGAGGGUGACCGGCCACAUUGGGACUGAGCUACGGCCCAGAUUCCUACGGGAGGCAGCAGUGGAGAAUAUUGCACAAUGGGCGGAAGCCUGAUGCAGCAACGCCGCGUGCGGGAUGACGGCCUUCGGGUUGUAACCCGCUUUCGCCUGUGACGAAGCGUGAGUGACGGUAAUGGGUAAAGAAGCACCGGCUAACUACGUG